rnacentral:rRNA from 1 species
GACGAACGCUGGCGGCGUGCUUAACACAUGCAAGUCGAACGGUAAGGCCCUUCGGGGUACACGAGUGGCGAACGGGUGAGUAACACGUGGGUGAUCUGCCCUGCACUUCGGGAUAAGCCUGGGAAACUGGGUCUAAUACCGGCUAGGACUCCUGCCUGCAUGGGUGGGGGUGGAAAGCUUUUGCGGUGUGGGAUGGGCCCGCGGCCGAUCAGCUUGUUGGUGGGGUGAUGGCCUACCAAGGCGACGACGGGUAGCCGGCCGGAGAGGGUGACCGGCCACACUGGGACUGAGAUACGGCCCAGACUCCUACGGGAGGCAGCAGUGGGGAAUAUUGCACAAUGGGCGCAAGCCUGAUGCAGCGACGCCGCGUGAGGGAUGACGGCCUUCGGGUUGUAAACCUCUUUCAGCACAGACGAAGCGCAAGUGACGGUAUGUGCAGAAGAAGGACCGGCUAACUACGUGCCAGCAGCCGCAGUAA